GAAAGCAUGGGGAGCGAAGAGGAUUAGAUACCCUGGUAGUCCAUGCCGUAAACGAUGAGUGUUCGCCCUAAUUUGUCUUUUUCACCAGAGCUGGAUAAAAACUUUUGAAACCUAACCAUUUGGUC
rnacentral:rRNA from 1 species